rnacentral:lncRNA from 1 species
UGCAAUCAACAAGUAUCAUUUCUUAGAAGAAGCAAAUGGAGUAUAAGUAAGCAUAAGUAUACAUGAUCUUCUCUGGUAUAUGUCUAAUCUCUUGACUAGUGUUCUUAUGAAUUUCAAGGCUUUUUCUGCUAGUUUAAAAUACCUUGUCGUAGCACUGGAACUCUCCAAUUCCGGGGAAUCUCCAGGUCCCGUUGCUCUCAGGGUAUGAUGGGUAUCUCAAUUCUCCACAAGGUCCCAUUCCUACUUGAAUUUCCUGCAAUACAUAAAAUGAUGAUCCAAUUAGCUUAGGUCCCUGUAUUGCUCAUGUCUGAAGUUAAUUCGUUUCCUUUGUAGUCUAAAUUUCUGCUUACCGCAAUAACUCCUCCUAUGUAGCCUUCAAAUCGUUCACGGAAGCUCCUCAUGAAAUCUGAGUAGACCUGGAUAGGUGUUCUUCCUCUUAGGACAGGCACAGAAUCACAUCCCAAGGAGAUAUAUUCAGGGUUCCUUCUCCCAGAUUUGUCUGUGUAGACAAGAUCAGGGUUCUU